AUGCCGCGUGUAUGAAGAAGGCCUUCGGGUUGUAAAGUACUUUCAGCAGUGAGGAAGUGGAUAUGUUAAUAGCAUAUUCAUUUGACGUUUAGCUGCAGAAGAAGCGACCGGCUAAACGUCCGUGACCCAGCAGCCGCGGGUAAUACGGAGGGUGCGAGCGUUAAUCGGAAUUACUGGGCGUAAAGCGCAUGCAGGUGGUUUGUUAAAGUCAGAUUGUGAAAGCCCGGGGCUUCAAACCUCGGAAUUGCAUUUGAAACUGGCAAACUAGAGUACUGUAGAGGGGGUAGAAUUUCAGGUGUAGCGGUGAAAUGCGUAGAGAUCUGAAGGAAUACCGGUGGCGAAGGCGGCCCCCUGGACAGAUACUGUACACUCAGAUGCGAAAGCGUGGGGAGCAAACAGGAUUAGAUACCCUGGUAG
rnacentral:rRNA from 1 species